rnacentral:rRNA from 1 species
UACGAAGGGGGCUAGCGUUGUUCGGAAUUACUGGGCGUAAAGCGCGCGCAGGCGGCUAUCCAAGUCAGUGGUGAAAGCCCGGAGCUCAACUCCGGAACUGCCAUUGAAACUGUUUAGCUUGAGGAUGAGAGAGGUGAGUGGAAUUCCCAGUGUAGAGGUGAAAUUCGUAGAUAUUGGGAAGAACACCGGAGGCGAAGGCGGCUUGCUGGGCUUGGUCUGACGCUGAGGCGCGAAAGCGUGGGGAGCGAACAGG